rnacentral:rRNA from 1 species
AUAAGACUUACUCCCUGAAUUUAAGCAUAUUAUUAAGGGCAGGUAAAAGAAAAUAACAAUGAUUUUCAUAGUAAUGGCGAAUGAAAUGAAAAGAGCUCAAAUUUGAAAUCUGCAAGUGAACCAGUUUGAACAUGAGAUUUGAGCUGGGAUUAACUGUAGAAUUGUAGUUUAAAUUUCUAGAUAGUAGUUUUGUCAUUCGAACUGUUGUAACAGAGUAUUAAGUUCUUUGGAAAAAGACAUUAUAAAGAGUGAAAAUCUCGUAAAUAUUCGCAACGGUCGGGCAUUGAUCUAUCUAUUUGAAAGAAGAGUCGUAUUCUUUGUGAUUAGAAUACAAAAUGGGUGGUAAAUUUCAUCUAAAGCUAAAUAUUAUACAAAGACCGAUAGCGAACAAGUAGUGUGAACGAAAGAUGCAAAGAACUUUGAAAAGAGAGUGAAAUAGUAUCUGAAACUACAUGAAAGGAAAUGAAUGAAAUUAGUAUGAUAAUAAAUACAUGAAUAAACUUGAAUUGGUUUUUUCAUUAUUGUCAAAAAUUUUUGAUAUUCUAAAUCAACAGCAAAUCGUAGCAAUGCGAUUGGUUGUGCACUUUAGAAAUUAUGUUAAAUGUUAGAUUCAAUUUUUCGACUUUUUAAUAAGAGUUUGAGGAGAGGUAGUUUAUUUGUGGCAGUUUCGGCUGUUUCACUUGUAACACACUUAUAAUCCUGAUGAACUAUAUUUUUAUUAAGUAAAGAUUGAGGCAAAAAACAAUGUGGAGAUUUAUCCCAUCGGGUCGGUAGCGACUAUUUAUUGUCAGUUUGGCGUGUGAUUUGAAGCGUAGAGGAAAAUUUUUCCUUGAGAAACUUGUUUUCUCCUGGAAUCUUCUGCACUUUCCGCGUGAAACUCGAUUUAAUAAUUGACGGUUGUUGCGAGUCGAUUAAAAUCUCACAAGAAAUCUAACAAAAUGAUUUCAUUUAUCCCGUCUUGUAACACGGAUCAAGGAGACUAACAUUGAAGAGAAUUUUAAGGUGAUUAAAACCUUAGAGUGGAAUGAAAGUGAUAACGAAAAAAGGAUUUGUAUAGCAUACAAUGCACUUUUUACCGAUUUUGAAGUAGUUAUUUCGUUGCCUCCGGGCUUUCGAUUUUCUCGAUAGAUUUGAGUAGAAUUUUCAAUGUUGGGACCCGAAAGAAGAUGAACUAUAGUUGAACUGGCUGAAGUCAGGAGAAAUCCUGAUGAAAGGCUAAAGCGGUACUGACGUGCAAAUCGUUCGUAAGAUUUGACUAUAGCGGCGAAAGACCAAUCGAAUCUUUUAAUAGCUGGUUUCCUCCGAAGUUUCCCUCAGGAUAGCAGAGUCAAUAGAACACAUUGUAUCAAAAUAGUCUGAUCUGGUAAAGCGAAUGAUUAGAAGCAUUUUUUGUGGAAUGAAACAUUCUACACUUAUUCUCAAACUUUAAAUGGGUCAGAAACGACAAUUGCUUUGGUGAAUUGUUGUUUGCAGAUAGUGAUUGACUUUAGUGGGCCGUUUUUGGUAAGCAGAACCGGCGAUGCGGAAUGAACCGAACGUCAAGUUAAAAUGCCAAAAUGAUCGUUCAUCAGAACUCACAAAAGGUGUAACUUUAUUCAGACAGUUUGGAUGUGGCUAUGGAAGUUAGAAUCAUUUAAAGAGUGUUUAACAACUCACAAACCGAAUAAAGCUGCCCUGAAAAUGAAUGGCGCUUAAACGAUCAAUUAAAAUUUUUAUAUUUAUACUUGACAAGAAAUGGAAGAGGUUUGAGGUUUUAAAUCUCAUAACCACCAUUAGCCAUUUCUUUGUAGGAGGAUGUAUUGAUAAUUUCGAAGCAAUUUUGAUGUAAAUCUAUGUGGAAUUGUCUUUAUUACAGAUCUUGUUUGUAGUAGCAAAUACAAAAGAGAGAACCUUUUGGAUUGAAGUAAAGAAAUGGUUUCGUUUGAACAUCAAUUGAAAACGAGUAAGUCGAUCCUAAAUCAGAACUUAAAUAGUUUAUUAAAAGCAAAGAUUAUUGAAAUACACGAUCUUUGAACUGAUGAAAGGGAAUUAGAUUAAUAUUUCUAAACCUGGGUAAAGAAAAUUUCAAUUUUAAAUUGAGAUUUUGGAGAUAUUUUUUAUGGCAACAUUAAAUUCAUCUGCUUUGAUACAACACUUGAGAUAUUAAAAAGAGUUAUCUUUUCUUUUUAAAAGGGUAUUUUAAAUUAAUGCGGUUGGCAAUUGUGAGUUGAUUAGCUUUUAUGCUUUUCGAUUUGUUUUUGUCGCUAAAACCUAUCGCAUUUGAAACGUGUGCGAGUCUGAAUUCAUUUCGAGAUACAUCGUUCUCUCACCCUUGAAAGAGUGGAACAAUCUAAUUUGUUUUCCAUUUAAUUUAUCUCAAUUGUUCCUUGAAACUCAAAGCGAAAGAAUUAUUUUUCCCCCAGAUCGUACAACAAUCCGCAACAGGUUCUUAAGUUUAAAAGACUCUAAUUUUUAGAAUAAAGUGGGUAAGGAAAAUCGGCAAAAUAGAUCCGUAACUUUGGGAAAAGGAUUGGCUCUAAAGACAAGAAACGCGGAUGAUGGGUGUGAGCUUGAAGAAUUUAUUUUCUUUUUGAGCGCAAACUACAUUCCAGGCGUGUCGAGGUUUCGACUUUGGCACGCCUUAAAAUUGUCAAUUUAGAACUGUUUCGGUCUCGGAGAACCCGACUGUUUAAUUAAAACAAAGCAAAGUGAUGGUCGCAAAUAUUGAUGUUGACACUUUGUGAUUUCUGCCCAGUGCUUUGAAUGUCAAUUUGAAGAAAUUCACCCAAGCGCAGGUCAACGGCGGGAGUAACUAUGACUCUCUUAAGGUAGCCAAAUGCCUCGUCAUUUAAUUGGUGACGCGCAUGAAUGGAUUAACGAGGUUCUCACUGUCCCUACUUACUAUCUAGCGAAGCAGCAGCAAAGGGAACGGACUUUGCAAAGACAGCGGGGAAAGAAGACCCUAUCGAGCUUGACUCUAGGUGUGAUAUUGUGAAAUGAUUUAAAAGGUGUAGAAUAAGGGGGAGAGGCUUGCUUCGAACUUGAAAUACCCCUACUUUUAACAUUGUUUUACUUAAAUAAUGAAUAAAGAAAAAGAUGUGCGUUUGUAUGUUUACAUGCGGCGUCGUCUUUCUUUAAGCAAACACGGCGAGAGUGAUGGUGGCGCAGGUGUGUGAGUGACAAAGGUGUUGUAAACGAAUUGCAGUUGUUUUUAAUUAAACCUGUAUUCUUUGCGGCAUUCACUUGUACAUUCUACGUCGCCACUCGCCAACUUUUGUUAUUGACAUUAUCAGCUGGGGAGUUUGGCUGGGGCGGCACAUCCGUUAAACAAUAACGCGGGUGUUCUAAGACAAGCUCAGAUAGAACAGAAAUCUAUCGUAGACGAUAAAACGAAAAGCUUGUUUGAUUUUGAUUUUCAGUACUAAUACAAACCGUGAAAGCGUGAUUUUGCGAUCCUUUAUAUUUUCGCUAUAAAUGAAUAAAUGUUUCUAUAGAGGUGUCAGAAAAGUUACCAUAGGGAUAACUGGCUUGUGGCCGCAGAGAGCUCAGAUCGACGUGGCUUUUUGAUUCUUCGAUGUCGGCUCUUCCUAUCCAUCCGAAGCAGAAUUCGGAUAGGGUGUGAUUGUUCACCACUGAAAAGGGAACGUGAGCUGGGUUUAGACCGUCGUGAGACAGGUUAGUUUUACCCUACUGUCGUGGUUGGAUUAUACCAAAAGUGUAUAUGACAAAUGGCUGCGUAACGGAAAUACGAUUCAGUACGAGAGGAACCAUCGUUUCACGCUUCAGGUAUCGGCAUUCGUUGAACAACGAUUGUGCCAAAGCUUCGCGUGCUGGAGUAUUGUUGGACGCCUCUAAACAAGAAACCACUCCAGAAACACAGCCAACUAAAUGUUGCGCUUAUUCAUCUGAGCGCAAUAGAGACUCUAUUUAUUAUUUAUUAUCAAAUAAAAGAGAAAUAAUAAGCAUCGGCUUCAUUGACCGUGCUUAAUUCCAUUUAAUUUAGUUAAUGAUUAAAUGCGUGUGUGCCAACUCGCCUCGCGCAAUCUAAUUAAAAAUUAAAAAUUUCAUUGAAUAUUUAGAGUUCUCGCAAACUAUCUACUAGUUAAAUCUCCUACAUACGAUUGGAAAUUAGUGUCAAAGGCGUGUGCGUUUUAGAGAACUCUAGUUAGUUCGAUUGAUUGAGCGUG